rnacentral:lncRNA from 1 species
AUUUUCAGCUGAGUCUCCGCACUGACUUUCUUCACAGGCCAUUUACAUAAGCAUCUCUGCAACAUAAUUACUGGUCCAGUCCUCAGCUGGCUCCAGACCACAAAUUAAAAGGGAACACCCGCACAGGCCACCACAUCAAGCCUGCGAUUCCUCCAGAAGAAACUCAAGAACGUGCUCCCUCUUGCCUGAGGGAGGGGAGGAGGCUUCUGGGAGAAGGUGGCCUGAAUGUGUCUCUCCAUCCUAUGACUCAUCCCUGGAGGAAUCCCCCUCAGCAGGAAAGGAGUCCCAGAAGGAAGCAAGGUGUGGCUUGGCGAGAGCAAAGGAUGUCUCUACUGGUUCAUUGUGGUAUUGGAUCCUGCUCCGUUCACAGCAACAGUUCCCACCAGGG